GAUGAACGCUGGCGGCGUGCUUAACACAUGCAAGUCGAACGGGAUCCAUCAGGCUUUGCUUGGUGGUGAGAGUGGCGAACGGGUGAGUAAUGCGUGACCGACCUGCCCCAUACACCGGAAUAGCUCCUGGAAACGGGUGGUAAUGCCGGAUGCUCCGACUCCUCGCAUGGGGUGUCGGGAAAGAUUUCAUCGGUAUGGGAUGGGGUCGCGUCCUAUCAGGUAGUCGGCGGGGUAACGGCCCACCGAGCCUACGGCGGGUAGCCGGCCUGAGAGGGCGACCGGCCACAUUGGGACUGAGAUACGGCCCAGACUCCUACGGGAGGCAGCAGUGGGGAAUAUUGCACAAUGGGCGCAAGCCUGAUGCAGCGACGCCGCGUGCGGGAUGACGGCCUUCGGGUUGUAAACCGCUUUUGAUCGGGAGCAAGCCUUCGGGUGAGUGUAC
rnacentral:rRNA from 1 species